GGAGGAUGACAAGCUCCUGACUGAUAGAUACAUGGAGACUUCGCUGGUGAUUUAUUGGCUUUCUGCACCUGACGAGAACCACUAGGCCUAUCUGAGGAGGGAAAUAUAUGGGCUUUCCUGACUCCAAGUGGCAGCCCCGGGGCGAGCAUGUGAUGUCAAGCUGGGCAGAGGAAAGCGGAGCUGUGCACCGGCCUGUGUACUGUAAGCCGGCCCGGGUCGUAAAAGUGUCAGCACGCGAUAUAUUUCUUGCAGGGGAUCCUCUCUGGCUCUUGCCAGCGCCUCUCCCCGGUGGCUGGCAGCCGCCCUAGCCGGGCCUGCAAGCAGCGGAUGCCCCAGGUCGCUUUCCCUUCGCCCUGCCCCGGAGCGCCGGGCCCUCACGUUCUCGCUCCAGCCUGGGGUCUCUCACGUGGCAUCUGGCCCUGGGGACGGUGCAGCGCAGGAGUUAAUUGCUGUCACUCCUGACUUCAGCGAAAGAGAUCGAUCAUGGGGCUUCUUCUUCGGGGUUAGCAGGGGCCUGGAGUGGAUGUUUAGUCUACCGGUCAGACUCCAGGUCUUAUAUCUUGAAACUGUAAGUCCCUGAAUUCACAGACAAUUCAGAGUAAGGAUGGAGGCAAAGAAGAGGACCUUGGGUUUACUGUUCACGAGAUGACCUCACAAAGGUGUUCAAUGAUGAAGAGGAGUAGCUGAAGAGAUGGCUGUCUAGAGUCAACACAAACCUACCCCAAAGUUUGACCUUUGCCUUAAGUCAGUAACUGAGGAGGGCCACGGUCCUGAGUUCAGUCCAGGCCCCAAGAAGAUUCAGAGCCUGCAGUUGUCCUCUGGUUUCCAAAGUAUGUUAUUGGGCUAAAAAUUUCAAGACAUUUAUCCUUCUUUGCUUUCUAUCGCAGCCAUUAAAUGUUUUAGAUAUUUUCUGCCAGAAGGCAGGAAUCAUGAAGAUAACAAAUAUUAAAGACAAAACAAAAUAACUUUUAAUGAGAA